UACGAAGGGGGCUAGCGUUGCUCGGAAUCACUGGGCGUAAAGGGCGCGUAGGCGGAUCUUUAAGUCGGGGGUGAAAGCCUGAGGCUCAACCUCAGAAUUGCCUUCGAUACUGGAGAUCUUGAGACCGGAAGAGGUAAGUGGAAUUCCCAGUGUAGCAGUGAAAUGCGUAGAUAUUGGGAGGAACACCAGUGGCGAAGGCGGCUCACUGGACCGGUACUGACGCUGAUGCGCGAAAGCGUGGGGAGCAAACGGG
rnacentral:rRNA from 1 species